AUGGGAAAAGCUUAUCCAGAAAUGCUGUGCUCUAUAAUAAUAUUUAAGUUGUUCUUUUAAUACAUCUCCCUAAAACUAAUAAUAUAUAUACUAUUUAAAUUUAGCAAGUUACUAGUAAAUUACUCUAAAAUAUUAUUAAUGCACAUUUACACAUAUUCAAAUACAUACAUGCACUCACCAAAAGAAUUAGAUAGAACUUUCUGGAAGUUAUAGUAGUUUUUUCCAUGAAAAGAGGGAGACAUGUCUUUGCCAUCAUUGAAUAACAUCUGUGUUGUAGAUUUUCACCCCACAUACCUCUGCUGUUCCUCACACCAUGACCAUGCCUCCUCCAUUACUGAAGUGUAUGAGGAAAUGCAAUUUCCAUCAACUUUUGUCAGAAUGGAGGAUCCGUUGAUCCUUGGGCCUGCUACACAGAGUCUGCUACGCUUGCUGAUAAAAUUUACAGUCAUCCUAAAUACCGAUUGUGUUUAGGUACCAGCUCUCUCAAAAUUCUCUGUGGUAAGACCUGCCCAUUGUGUAAGCCAUUGUCACAAUAAGGAAGAAGGGUGAAGAUGUAUGAAGUAAAAACCAUAAAGAAAUAGAUGGAGGGAGGAACUGAUCGUCAAGAGACAAUGGAGGAAGAAGGCGGAACAAACCAGUUCAAACUCAGCUAUGGCAUGACGGGCAAGAAGCUGAUCCCAGGGAAGAGAAAUAUCACCAGUGGAAAGCAGAUGGGAGAAAAGAAGCCCAGGUUAUACAGAAAGUUCUCAGUCUGAUGUCACAAAUCAUCAAGGAAAUGCAAAUGCUAAUCCCAACCACAGUGAGCUCCCAAACCUGUUGAAAUGAUUAUCAUUUAAAAAAAAAAAUUCUUUAAGACAAGCUUUUUUGGAGAAAGUGGAAAGCCUCUUGGUGAGGCUGCAAAAUGGCGGAACCACUUUUGAAAACAACAUAGAAGAGUCUAGGAGAAACUAGAGCUAAAACUACCAUGGAAUCCGACAAUCUAACUCUUGGUGACUUACUCAAAAGCACUGAAAUCUGAAUCCCUCAAAGACAUUAAUGGCUACCCCCCAGAUUACUGCAGCCAUAUUGAAAAUAGUCAAGAUGGUCAAGGCAUCAAAACGUUCAUCAACAGAGUGUCCUAUGUAAAAAGAGACCACCAUAUCCUAGUGACCAAAUUUCUAACAAGAGCAAUUUAAGGAGGAGAGGCUCACUCUGUUCAUGGUUUAAGAGAUACAGUCUAUCAGCCCUGGCAGCAUGUCAUUGUCAACACUUCUAAAACUGAUUCGCGCUAAACAGAGGCAACUUGUUUUGGAUCAGACACAUCUGCUAAGAGUUCAAGUGGCCUUGGGCAGGUUGUCCAUACCCUCAAAGGCUGAGUUUUACAUUAGCAAACUCCUUCUCCGUUAUUAUACAUUUCUUUAGGUAAGAAUGAAAUGGGAAUCUAAAAGUGCCUCCACAGUCGGGCAAAUAAAAACCCAGCAACAGGAAA